AGAACUUUUAUAAUUAUCUGCAGGCGUGGUUCAUAACAUCUAAAAUGGCGUUAAGGCGGGAUGACAAUGAUAUGAAGGUUGACCCUGAAAACGGGAUUUAUGUUGAAAUGGAGGGUAUCAUGGAGUGGAGGCGAGUUUACGACGAUUCGGAUGAAUAUGAAAGCCAGGACAUGUUUAUAUUUCAGGAGGAGAACAAAUAUAUUGACGAGAAAUUCUGUGUAAAGAAUAGAGAAGAGGGAUAUCAGGUAGUUCUACAAUCUAC